GGUCAUUUAGAGGAAGUAAAAGUCGUAACAAGGUCUCCGUUGGUGAACCAGCGGAGGGAUCAUUACCGAGUUUACAACUCCCAAACCCCUGUGAACAUACCACUUGUUGCCUCGGCGGAUCAGCCCGCUCCCGGUAAAACGGGACGGCCCGCCAGAGGACCCCUAAACUCUGUUUCUAUAUGUAACUUCUGAGUAAAACCAUAAAUAAAUCAAAACUUUCAACAACGGAUCUCUUGGUUCUGGCAUCGAUGAAGAACGCAGCAAAAUGCGAUAAGUAAUGUGAAUUGCAGAAUUCAGUGAAUCAUCGAAUCUUUGAACGCACAUUGCGCCCGCCAGUAUUCUGGCGGGCAUGCCUGUUCGAGCGUCAUUUCAACCCUCAAGCACAGCUUGGUGUUGGGACUCGCGUUAAUUCGCGUUCCUCAAAUUGAUUGGCGGUCACGUCGAGCUUCCAUAGCGUAGUAGUAAAACCCUCGUUACUGGUAAUCGUCGCGGCCACGCCGUUAAACCCCAACUUCUGAAUGUUGACCUCGGAUCAGGUAGGAAUACCCGCUGAACUUAAGCAUAUCAAUAAGCGGAGGA
rnacentral:rRNA from 1 species